rnacentral:sRNA from 1 species
GGUUAACACAUUGAGAAGCAAAUUGAAUGACUUAUGUAUUCCUUUGCUAUAAUCAUUCUGUGAUUUGGGAUAAAAACAUUUUGGAAAACAUGAUUUUAGAAUUCUACAGCCAAACAAUGUAUGUAUAAGGUUUCAAUAAAUAAAUUGCAAAACUCAGCAACAUUUUUUUAUUUCAAAUAAUUUUGUUCUGCUGCAGGGUUAUCAGCUCUUUGAAGAAGUCAAAAGCUGCAGUAAACUUUUCCAACGUUGGCUGCAGUAACUAUUUUCAAUAAAAGCUGUCUGGAUGUCUCAAGUUGUGUUGGGAAAUUUUUCAUAUUAGAAGCUUUCAAAUUAAAUUGUAUUAUCAUCAAAGUCUGUAAUCAUGAAAAUCUGUUGAUCCGUAGAGUAACUUGUAUUAAAUUUUCCCUACGUUAUGAGCCAGUUUACCUACUAUGUACAUACUUCAUGGAUGCAUUUUGAACUUUAAUAUAGGAAGGGGAAGAAGAAGGAGAUGAGGAAAAUGAUCCAGACUAUGACCCAAAGAAGGAUCAAAACCCAGCAGAGUGCAAGCAGCAGUGAAGCAGGAUGUAUGUGGCCUUGAGGAUAACCUGCACUGGUCUACCUUCUGCUUCCCUGGAAAGGAUGAAUUUACAUCAUUUGACAAGCCUAUUUUCAAGUUAUUUGUUGUUUGUUUGCUUGU